UAAAGCUCCGGCGGAGACGGAUUGGCUCGCGUGACAUUAGCUGGACGGCGGGGUAACGGCCCACCGUGGCUACGAUGUCUAGGGGUUCUGAGAGGAAGGUCCCCCACACUGGAACUGAGACACGGUCCAGACUCCUACGGGAGGCAGCAGUGAGGAAUAUUGGUCAAUGGGCGGGAGCCUGAACCAGCCAUGCCGCGUGAAGGCGAGUGCCCUACGGGCGUUAAACUUCUUUUGUGCGGGAGCAAUAAGGGCCACGCGUGGCCCGAUGAGAGUACCGCACGAAUAAGCAUCAGCUAACUCCGUGCCAGCAGCCGCGGUAAUACGGGGGAUGCGAGCGUUAUCCGGAUUUAUUGGGUUUAAAGGGUGCGUAGGCGGCGCUUCAGGUCAGCGGUGAAAUACCGGGGCUCAACCCCGGGGCUGCCGUUGAAACCGGAGCGCUAGAAUUCCGAUGCCGUCGGAGGAAUGUGUGGUGUAGCGGUGAAAUGCAUAGAUAUCACACAGAACACCGAUUGCGAAGGCAUCUGACGAAUCGGAGAUUGACGCUGAUGCACGAAAGCGUGGGUAUCGAACAGGAUUAGAUACCCUGGUAGUCCACGCUGUAAACGAUGAUGACUAGCCGUCGGCGAUACAGUGUCG
rnacentral:rRNA from 1 species